GAUGAAGAACGUAGCGAAAUGCGAUACGUAAUGUGAAUUGCAAAUUCAGUGAAUCAUCGAGUCUUUGAACGCACAUUGCGCCCCCUGGUAUUCCGGGGGGCAUGCCUGUCCGAGCGUCAUUGCUGCCCUCAAGCACGGCUUGUGUGUUGGGCCCCGUCCUCCGAUCCCGGGGGACGGGCCCGAAAGGCAGCGGCGGCACCGCGUCCGGUCCUCGAGCGUAUGGGGCUUUGUCACCCGCUCUGUAGGCCCGGCCGGCGCUUGCCGAUCAACCCAAAUUUUUAUCCAGGUUGACCUCGGAUCAGGUAGGGAUACCCGCUGAACUUAAGCAUAUCAAAAGCGGAGGA
rnacentral:misc_RNA from 1 species